UGUGUGUGGCUCAGCGGUAGAGCACUCACCUAGCAUGUGAGGGACCCUGGGUUCAAUCCUCAGCACCACAU
rnacentral:tRNA from 1 species